rnacentral:misc_RNA from 1 species
CAUGGCUGCCAGCUCUCAGGUCUGCAAACGUCUGGGCGAACAAUCAACCAAGCUCCAGGGUUGGACUUGGCAACCCAAUCACAACCUGUUGACGGCACAAAAGGAGUUGUUAUGAAGGCUGCCGCAACAGCUGAGCCAGAGAGAUCAUGUAUCUUAACCUUCCAUCCCUUCCGUUCUCUUCUUUCUGUUUCCAGGUCAAUGCCGUCGACAGAGGUUGACCAAUAGGUGCUCAAUGGAUCCACCUGAG